GACGAACGCUGGCGGCGUGCCUAAUACAUGCAAGUCGAACGAGAGCGCCCGGUGCUUGCACUGGUCAAUCUAGUGGCGAACGGGUGAGUAACACGUGGGUAACCUGCCCAUCAGAGGGGGAUAACAUUCGGAAACGGAUGCUAAAACCGCAUAGGUCUUCGAACCGCAUGGUUUGAAGAGGAAAAGAGGCGCAAGCUUCUGCUGAUGGAUGGACCCGCGGUGCAUUAGCUAGUUGGUGAGGUAACGGCUCACCAAGGCCGUGAUGCAUAGCCGACCUGAGAGGGUGAUCGGCCACAUUGGGACUGAGACACGGCCCAAACUCCUACGGGAGGCAGCAGUAGGGACUCUUCCGCAAUGGACGCAAGUCUGACGGAGCAACGCCGCGUGAGUGAAGAAGGUUUUCGGAUCGUAAAACUCUGUUGUUAGAGAAGAAUAAGUGCUAGAGUAACUGUUAGCGCCUUGACGGUAGCUAACCAGAAAGCCACGGCUAACUACGUG
rnacentral:rRNA from 1 species